GACGAACCGUGCAAACGUUAUUCGGAAUCACUGGGCUUAAAGCGCGCGUAGGCGGCGACGUAAGUUGGAUGUGAAAUCCCAUCGGCUCAACCGUGGAACUGCAUCCAAUACUGCGUUGCUCGAGGGAGAUAGGGGUCCGCGGAACUUCCGGUGGAGCGGUGAAAUGUGUUGAGAUCGGAAGGAACGCCAGUGGCGAAAGCGGCGGACUGGGUCUUUACUGACGCUGAGGCGCGAAAGCUAGGGGAGCGAACGGG
rnacentral:rRNA from 1 species